rnacentral:rRNA from 1 species
GAUGAACGCUGGCGGCGUGCCUAACACAUGCAAGUCGAACGGACUUACAUUGAAGCCUAGCGAUAUGUAAGUUAGUGGCGGACGGGUGAGUAACGCGUGGGUAACCUGCCUUGUACUGGGGGACAACAGUUGGAAACGACUGCUAAUACCGCAUAAGCGCACAGCUUCGCAUGAAGCAGUGUGAAAAACUCCGGUGGUACAAGAUGGACCCGCGUCUGAUUAGCUGGUUGGUGAGGUAACGGCCCACCAAGGCGACGAUCAGUAGCCGGCCUGAGAGGGUGAACGGCCACAUUGGGACUGAGACACGGCCCAAACUCCUACGGGAGGCAGCAGUGGGGAAUAUUGCACAAUGGGGGAAACCCUGAUGCAGCAACGCCGCGUGAGUGAAGAAGUAUUUCGGUAUGUAAAGCUCUAUCAGCAG